CAAAGCAUAACAACAAUCCAUGAAAGUAGUCAGGUAGCGGUGGCUGAGGUUCGAAGCCAGAAGAGUAGAGGGUAAAUAGGAGUGAUCCUGGAGUAGUCAGGAAUGAGAGCCAGAGUCAGGAGCUAACAAUGGAGGCCAAGGAUAAUCCACAGGAGUAGUCAGAGAUGCGAACAAUGUUCUAAAGUCAAUGAUGACAGAUAUAACCAGAUGGAUUCCGUUAAGCCCAUGGGAGCUGAGGCUAUAAAGUAAGGAGGUUACACAUGGCAAUACAAGUCAGGGGACUUAAUAAUUGAGCAAUUACACAAGGCUUUAGAUAGGAAAUAGUUGAUCAUAACAACCUAACACAAAUUAAGUAUUCAAUCAUGACAUCACUGAGCAAAGAAUAAGAGGUUACAUUAACCCAUACAUGGGGAAUUUCUGAUAUUUUAGGGCAUUUUGUUCCAGCUGAUAAAGCCAAGAUAGAACCCACCAUUGGUGUAUAUUCUUUGUCCCCUAGAAAGCCGCAUUACUGUCUAUUACUCCCUGCUUCCUUGGGCUUGGAUUCUGUCAUGUGUCAUACUAACACCUUGCUAGGUUCUGCGGCUGCUGAGAACUUUAUUGGCAUUUUCUUCUUUUCUAAGUUUUCUAUUCCCAUGCAAGAAAGGGAAAACCCAUGCCCAUUAACA